AUUGAACGCUGGCGGCAGGCCUAACACAUGCAAGUCGAACGAGAGGCGGACGGGUGAGCAAUGUCUGGGAAAGUGCCUGAGGGAGGGGGUCAACUACUGGAAACGGUAGCUAAUACCGCAUACCAUAGCAUGGGCCCAGAUGGGAUUAGCGAGUAGGUGGGGUAAAGGCACACCUAGGCGACGAUCCCUAGCUGGUCUGAGAGGAUGACCAGCCACACUGUACCUGAGACACGGUCCAGACUCCUACGGGAGGCAGCAGUGGGGAAUAUUGCACAAUGGGCGAAAGCCUGAUGCAGCCAUGCCGCGUGUAUGAAGAAGGCCUUCGGGUUGUAAAGUACGUUCAGCGGGGAGGCGUUACCCGCAGAAGAAGCACCGGCUAACUCCGUGCCAGCAGCCGCGGUAAUAC
rnacentral:rRNA from 1 species